AACGAACGCUGGCGGCAUGCCUAACACAUGCAAGUCGAACGAAGGCUUCGGCCUUAGUGGCGCACGGGUGCGUAACGCGUGGGAAUCUGCCCUUUGGUUCGGAAUAACAGCUGGAAACGGCUGCUAAUACCGGAUGACGACGAAAGUCCAAAGAUUUAUCGCCAGAGGAUGAGCACGCGUUGUAUUCGGUAGUUGGUGGGGUAAAGGCCUACCAAGCCGCCGAUCCAUAGCUGGUCUGAGAGGAUGAUCAGCCACACUGGGACUGCGACACGGCCCAGACUCGUGCGUGAGGCAGAAAUGGGGAAUAUUAGACAAUGGACAAAAGCCUGAUGCAGCAAUGCCGCGUAAGUGCUGAAGGCCCUAGGGUUGUAAAGCUCUUUUACACGUGAAGAUAAUGACUGUACCGGGAGAAUAAGCCCCGGCUAACUCCGUG
rnacentral:rRNA from 1 species